CGAGUUUUGGGGUCCGUCACGUGUGAGGGUGUUAAAUGUGGAAAUUUGUAUGGGACACCCAAUCUCCCAGAGGUCCUUUGAGGCUGGUUGACUAGCAAGCUUUGUUGUUGACAAACCUGGGUUCAUGCAGGCUGAACGAGUUAGACACGAGUCCAAACGACGUCGAUUAAAUGUUCAGACUUGGGUACGGUACUAUCCGUUUAAUUCACAUAUGGUUCAAUUUAUCUGAGUCUGACUUUACUUAUUGACAGUUGUUAGUUAAAUUUUAGAAACUUAAAUGUCAAAUACAUAUGUGUACGAUGAACAUGGAAUUUAUCGUUUGUAUAAUUCGACGUCGAUUUGGAUGAAUGUCCAAUCUGUUCCUGUGUUGGCGAAACUUUUAGGUUAUGUUUACCUGUAAAAUGUUGAGUGUUCAAUUUGUUGAAGUUAACACUUGCCGAAACCCUUCAUAUAAUUGGAGUUUUAAUUUAAUAUCCUCCAAUUCCUGGAUGACAAACUCCUAAUUGAAACCCACGUGUUGGACGUAUCUUCCACAGGUUUUUAUCCAGAAGUACAAAAUCGAAAUACAAUUGAUUGAAAACAAUUUAAAAUGCUA